rnacentral:misc_RNA from 1 species
UACGGAGGGUGCAAGCGCUAUUCGGAAUUUCUGGGCGUAAAGCGCGCGUAGGUGGCUUGCUAAGCCGGUUGUGAAAGCCUCGGGCUCAACCUGGGAACGGCAGCCGGAACUGUCAGGCUAGAGUGCAGGAGAGGAAGGUAGAAUUCCCGGUGUAGCGGUGAAAUGCGUAGAGAUCGGGAGGAAUACCAGUGGCGAAGGCGGCCUUCUGGACUGACACUGACACUGAGGUGCGAAAGCGUGGGUAGCAAACAGG